ACGAACGCUGGCGGCGUGCUUUACACAUGCAAGUCGCACGGAAAGGCCCUGCUUUUGUGGGGUGCUCGAGUGGCGAACGGGUGAGUAACACGUGAGUAACCUGCCCUUGACUUUGGGAUAACUUCAGGAAACUGGGGCUAAUACCGGAUAGGCGCUCCUGCUGCAUGGUGGGGGUUGGAAAGUUUCGGCGGUUGGGGAUGGACUCGCGGCUUAUCAGCUUGUUGGUGGGGUAGUGGCUUACCAAGGCUUUGACGGGUAGCCGGCCUGAGAGGGUGACCGGCCACAUUGGGACUGAGAUACGGCCCAGACUCCUACGGGAGGCAGCAGUGGGGAAUAUUGCACAAUGGGCGGAAGCCUGAUGCAGCAACGCCGCGUGCGGGAUGACGGCCUUCGGGUUGUAAACCGCUUUCGCCUGUGACGAAGCGUGAGUGACGGUAAUGGGUAAAGAAGCACCGGCUAACUACGUG
rnacentral:rRNA from 1 species